rnacentral:rRNA from 1 species
UGAGGAAUUUUCCGCAAUGGGCGAAAGCCUGACGGAGCGACGCCGCGUGGGUGAUGAAGGUCUUCGGAUCGUAAAACCCUUUUGUAGGGGAAGAAAUCCCCGAAGUUAACAGCUUCGGGGGCUGACUGUACCCUAAGAAUAAGCUCCGGCCAACUACGUGCCAGCAGCCGCGGUAAUACGUAGGGAGCGAGCGUUAUCCGGAAUUACUGGGCGUAAAGGGCUCGCAGGUGGUUUGGUAAGUUGCAUGUUAAAGCUCCGGGCUUAACCCGGGAAACGCGUGCAAUACUGCCUUACUUGAGAGCGGGAGAGGGAAAUGGAAUUCCCGGUGUAGCGGUGAAAUGCAUAGAUAUCGGGAAGAACACCAGUGGCGAAGGCGAUUUCCUAGACCGUUUCUGACACUGAGGAGCGAAAGCCAAGGGAGCGAACGGG